AAGCGAUGGGGUGACGCAGGAAGGUAGCUGGGCCAGUCAGUGGUUGUACUGGUGUAAGAGUGUAGGCCGUGACAUAGGCAAAUCCAUGUCACAUUAAGGCUGAGACUUGAUGCAUACCCGUUGUGGGGAAUUCAGUGAUCCUAUGCUGCCGAGAAAAGCCUCUAGUGAGUUCAUACACGGCCCGUACCCCAAACCGACACAGGUGAUCAGGUAGAGAAUACCAAGGCGAUCGAGAGAACUGUGGUUAAGGAACUCGGCAAAAUGCCCCCGUAACUUCGGGAGAAGGGGGACCAUGCCCGGUGAACAUCUUCACGGUGGGAGCUGGGUGUGGUCGCAGAGACCAGAGAGAAGCGACUGUUUACUAAAAACACAGGUCCGUGCGAAGACGUAAGUCGAUGUGUACGGACUGACGCCUGCCCGGUGCUGGAAGGUUAAGAGGACCGGUUAGCCGUAAGGCGAAGCUGAGAAUUUAAGCCCCAGUAAACGGCGGUGGUAACUAUAACCAUCCUAAGGUAGCGAAAUUCCUUGUCGGGUAAGUUCCGACCUGCACGAAUGGCGUAACGACUUCUCUGCUGUCUCGACCACAGACUCGGCGAAAUUGCACUACGAGUAAAGAUGCUCGUUACGCGCGGCAGGACGAAAAGACCCCGGGACCUUUACUAUAGCUUGGUAUUGGCGUUCGAUUCGGUUUGUGUAGGAUAGGUGGGAGACUGUGAAGCAUGCACGCCAGCGUGUGUGGAGUCGUUGUUGAAAUACCACUCUGAUCGUAUUGGACGUCUAACCUCGGCCCAUGAUCUGGGUUAGGGACAGUGCCUGGUGGGUAGUUUAACUGGGGCGGUUGCCUCCUAAAGAGUAACGGAGGCGCCCAAAGGUUCCCUCAGCCUGGAUGGCAAUCAGGUGUUGAGUGCAAGUGCACAAGGGAGCUUGACUGUGAGACUGACACGUCGAGCAGGGACGAAAGUCGGGACUAGUGAUCCGGCACCGGCAAGUGGAAGCGGUGUCGCUCAACGGAUAAAAGGUACCCCGGGGAUAACAGGCUGAUCUUCCCCAAGAGUCCAUAUCGACGGGAUGGUUUGGCACCUCGAUGUCGGCUCGUCGCAUCCUGGGGCUGGAGUAGGUCCCAAGGGUUGGGCUGUUCGCCCAUUAAAGCGGCACGCGAGCUGGGUUUAGAACGUCGUGAGACAGUUCGGUCUCUAUCCGCCGCGCGCGUAAGAAACUUGAGGAAGGCUGUCCCUAGUACGAGAGGACCGGGACGGACGAACCUCUGGUGUGCCAGUUGUUCCACCAGGAGCAUGGCUGGUUAGCUACGUUCGGAAGGGAUAACCGCUGAAAGCAUCUAAGCGGGAAGCCUGUUCCAAGAUGAGGUUUCUCACCACCUUGCGUGGUUAAGGCCCCCUACAGACCAUGGGGUUGAUAGGCCGGAACUGGAAGCGCAGCAAUGCGUGGAGGUGACCGGUACUAAUAGGCCGAGGGCU
rnacentral:rRNA from 1 species